CGGGGUGCACCAGGCGCGAAAACUUUGCAAUGCGGGAAACCGUGACAAGGGAACUCUGAGUGCCCGUAAAAUCGGGCUGUCCAUCGGUUUAAAUAACCGGUGAAGAAAGGGCCGGGCAAGACCGGUGCCAGCCGCCGCGGUAAUACCGGCGGCUCGAGUGGUGGCCACUAUUACUGGGCUUAAAGCGUUCGUAGCUGGUCUGUUAAGUCUCUGGGGAAAUCUUCCGGCUUAACCGGAAGGCGUCUCAGGGAUACUGGCAGACUAGGGACCGGGAGAGGUGAGAGGUACUCCAGGGGUAGGAGUGAAAUCCUGUAAUCCUUGGGGGACCACCUGUGGCGAAGGCGUCUCACCAGAACGGCUCCGACAGUGAGGGACGAAAGCUGGGGGAGCAAACCGGAUUAGAUACCCGGGUAGUCCCAGCUGUAAACGAUGCGCGUUAGGUGUAUCGGUGACCACGAGUCACCGAGGUGCCGAAGAGAAAUCGUGAAACGUGCCGCCUGGGAAGUACGGUCGCAAGGCUGAAACUUAAAGGAAUUGGCGGGGG
rnacentral:rRNA from 1 species